rnacentral:lncRNA from 1 species
CGCAAAGGUUCGAUUCGACAUUGUUUCAACAUGUGGGUUCUCUCUCAGGUAUCGAAUAAUAUCACUAGACAAUCUCUCCAUCAAAGGUCUUGUGCAAAUGUGUGUGCCAUCUUGGAAUUUAAAGUACAAAUCGGUCGAUACAAGCUUCAAAAAGACAACCUUACUCAACUACGUUCAAAUUAUCUAAAAGACACUACAUAUAUAUACUUUUGGAAAACAUGCUAAACACCAACUACUCCUAAAGUUCGAGUGAGGGAAAGACAACUUAGCUAAAAGUAUCUCUAUUUUUGGAUUUUUCUAAUUUUUCAAUUUUUAGGGAUUUUCAUUUUUUUUUAAGAAUUACACUAAAGCCCUCCCCAUACCUAAAUCAUGCAUUGUCCUCA